rnacentral:rRNA from 1 species
UACAGAGGGCGCGAGCGUUGUCCGGAAUCACUGGGCGUAAAGGGCGCGUAGGUGGCCACCAUAAGGCCGCGGUGAAAGUUCGGGGCUCAACCCCGAAUCGGCCGCGGCGACUGUGGGGCUCGGGUACUGUAGAGGCAGAUGGAAUUCCGGGUGUAGUGGUGAAAUGCGUAGAGAUCCGGAGGAACACCAGUGGCGAAGGCGACACGCUGGGCCGUACCUGACACUGAUGCGCGACAGCAUGGGGAGCAAACAGG